rnacentral:lncRNA from 1 species
UAUAUAAUUAAUUGAUUGAUAGAUUAUAUUGUAAACAUUCAAUCUUAUGAUAAGACGUGGAAAGCUAAAUAAAUCUACGUAAUUUUAAUUUUGUAGCCGUGGUAACGAAAACCGAAGAUGAGAAAAUGAUAAACGAAAACCCUAGCGAGCAACGAUAAACCCAAACAGAACGUGUCGCUUACUGCUAAUGCUGCGCCAAUACUCUAUUCUCCCAAUUUCUU